UAACUUAUUGCUAACUAAAGGGGUAAUUACAAAGAAAAGACAAACAAUGAAGAGAAACAAGGUUUAAAAUGAUCACCCUGCCAGAUCGGAAGUCCAAAGUGAAUCUUGAAAUAUGUCAAAACUGAGCCCUUCUAAUAUUAAGAUGAAAAUUAAGAUGCCAUAUCACAAUCAAGGCAUAUCCAAAAAAACUACUGUAUCAGAAAUGCAUACUUCCUCAAAUCAUAUGAAUAUGAUGUAUUUCGAACCUUUAUAUGAUACCAUCAUUGAUAGAAUCUAAUCAAAUGGGAAAAGCUUUUGUAACAAACAAUAUUGACUUUCAUAACAUAGACUACUAUAAUGAAAAGAAAUAAACAGAGAAUUUUUGCGCCAAAAAAAAUGUUGCUCCAUUGUAACCUAGGUGUCAAUCAUUCGAAACAUAGAAACAGCUACUCCAUAAUGGAGGUAAGGCCGCGCAUAUCUAACCCUUUCUAGAUCCCAUAGUGGUGAGAGACGUGCAUUGGGGUGUCUUUCUUGUCGAAGGGGCCUCAAUCGAUCAAGUCAGUGAAAUCCCCGCUUUUGCUUUUUGCUCUUUCUUAAGCCUGCAUUUGAAGAUCUUUAGAGGUGAACCUAUAUAAUAGACGCGGGUGGAAACAAAAACUUAAUUUUUAUUUUUUGCUAGUGGCUACGUGAGUUAGUUUGAUUGUGUUGUGACCAUGGUAUGUUGGGCUGGCACCGAGCAACGGAUCGGUUGCCCAGCGGCACGAGUCGGUAUGAACCUGCACAAUAGAGAAGGUGAGGGAGAGGGUGAAGGAAAGAAAAGAAAAAAGAGAGAGAAGGGGGAGAGAGGGAGGGUGGCAGAGGCCAGCGACUCGGGCAAGUGGCAAAGAAAGGCUCCACAGCCGGGUUCGAACAAAAUAGGGAUUCAACUAUUUUUAAAUUUGGCAAUUUUUAAGUGAAGUUGGCAAAUUGCUUGCCGACUUCACUUAAAAAUUGCAAAAUUAAAAAAGGGUGAUUUGCCGACUUCACUUCAAAAUCGUAAAAUUAAAAAAGCGGCUUUCCGACUUCACUUAAAAAUUACAAAAUUUAAAAGGGAUGAUUUGCCGACUUCAUUUCAAAAUUCUAAAAUUAAAAAAGCGGCCAAACCCUAUUUCGAACGAAACAGGAAACCCUGCCGCGGAGCCCGGAGGAGCGUCCUCCGCGCGGCUCGCCAACUUACGCCUACCCUCCACUAGCCAGUCUUCGCUGGCCAACCUCCACCUCCCUCUCUCUUCCUUUCUCUCCCUCCCUCCACCGCUCACUCUUUUUCCUCUCUUUCCUUCUCCUUCUCCCCCUCUGGCAACGUGUUUUAUUUCCGUUGUCGGAACCGUCCCAGUCCGCCACCAGGAUGGCUCGGUACAACCGAAACCAUCCGAUUCGGGACGGUUAUGCCGAUCCUGGUCAAGACAGUUAUGACUAAAUCAUUGCUAUAUUGGUGAAGAAAUUUGAGUUUUUAUCUAAAGCUUUCGCUAAGUAUGGGAUUUCUUCAGCAAAGCUUUUCCAAAUUAAAAAAAAGUUUCCGGUUGUUGCAAAUUUUCUGCAUUGAAGUUGAUAGUUCUUCCAAAGGAGUCAUGAGAAUAUAAAACACUCCCAUUAAAGUCACAUGAGUUCGGAGCUCCAACAGAGACAACACAAACAAGGAACUUAGACGGUGAUCAUACAGCCACAUUUAGAGUCCAAACCAUAUACAACCGCAAGUAAAGAAUGCAAAACAUUAGCUGACACAGAGAAGCAAACAUCCAAUCUCUCCUGAAUCAAUAUGACAAAUCUUAUUUAAGGGCGGAAGAAUAAAAGCAACGGGACACAAGAUCAGCAUUUCAAAUCCCACCUCAUGCCUUUACCAAGCAACAACAAACUGUUCUUUCCAGACAAAAUAAUAAAUUUUCUAGGUAUUACUGAAUUAUACAUUUACUU
rnacentral:lncRNA from 1 species